CUUCCUUAUCUUCGGAUGGUGUCCCCUCGUUGAUGCUCAUGGAUAAUAACUUCAAUAUCCAAUCUGAAUUUACCCUUCCGACAAUGUCUGGCG
rnacentral:ribozyme from 1 species